UCACACGUAAAACCCUUGAUACGCAAAUCACCAAUCUUUACGCUCAUCACCACCAGAUUCGUUGAAGAUUUCUUAUUCUUGUUCAUCUUUUCGUCUCCGUGUCGUACGUACGUUUCUCUAUUCUUGUAUGUUCUUGCGUAUGGCUUCUUCUUCUUGGAGUGGUUGAUCAAUGUCAUCUCCAUCAAAGUUGAGGCCAAAUUUACAAUAUGAGCCAUCUUUGUAUUGUCGUUGUGGAUUGAAAGCACCACUAUGUAUAUCACGAGACAAUGGGCAACAAUUUUUUGGAUGUCAACAGUGGAAGGAAGGUGGUUGUGGCUUUUUUUUUUUGUGGAAAAGUGUAAUAUCAAAGGAGGGGAAGCUUGAAGGCGAUUCAAAUAGCAAAGUUGAAUUAGAGUUGAAAAAUAUGUAGUAUUUAAUUAUAGAAUAAAUUCGGCAAUUGCGAAGUGAUGUUCAAAAAGGCUAUUCAAUUUAAUGAAAGCAAAAAAAGACAUAUGAAUAUAACAAUUGGUUUAAUAAUUGUUAUAGGGAUAUGUGUGUAUGUAAUUUUGCAGAACAAACAUGCAAUAUCAUAUGGAUGUAUGUUGCCUUUGGUGUAGUUAUAAGUUUGUUGUCAGAUGAAUCUAUUUUGUUGGUUUAGCUUUGUUCCUGUGUUUAAGUUUAUCAUAUGGAUGUAAGUUUAUUGACAAUUUCAAACUAAUGUAAUCCUGUGUUUAAGUUUAUCAUAUGGAUGUAAGUUUAUUGACAAUUUCAAACUAAUGUAAUCCUGUGUUUAAGUUUA